rnacentral:rRNA from 1 species
UACGUAUGGAGCAAGCGUUAUCCGGAUUUACUGGGUGUAAAGGGAGCGCAGGCGGCUUUGCAAGUCUGAUGUGAAAGGCCGGGGCUCAACCCCGGGACUGCAUUGGAAACUGUAAAGCUAGAGUGCCGGAGAGGUAAGCGGAAUUCCUAGUGUAGCGGUGAAAUGCGUAGAUAUUAGGAGGAACACCAGUGGCGAAGGCGGCUUACUAGACGGCAACUGACGCUGAGGCUCGAAAGCGUGGGGAGCAAACAGG